rnacentral:SRP_RNA from 1 species
ACGGGGCAUGGUAGCAACGUGCCUGUACUCCCACCUACUCGGGAGGCUGAGGCUAGAGGAUGGCUUGAGUCCAGGAGUUCUGGGCUAUAGUGCACUAUGCCUAUCAGGUGUAGGCACUAAGUUCAGCAUCAAUAUGGUGACCUCCCGGGAGCAGGGGACCACCAGGUUGCCUAAGGAGGGGUGAAGCGGCCCAGGUCAAAAACCGAGCAGGUCAAAACUCCCAUGCUGAUUAGUAGUAGGACUGCACCUGUGAAUAGCCACUGCACUCCAGCCUGGGCAACAUAGCGAGACCCCUUCUCA